UAGAGAAGCUGAUUGCCAGCGAGAGAUGUUCUUUGCAGACCUACAGCAGCUCUCGUUGCAGCCUCCUCUCCCAAUGUGGAAUAGUUUUGCAAGGCAUUGACAGUGACUGCCAAAACCUCUCCGCCCCAAAGCCAGCAAGUGGAAACGUUUCCGUUUCUCCUCUGGAUCUGACCCGAAGUCCCGGGACCCGAUGCCAUUCUGAAGAUUUAUUAGUGAAUCCUUCAUCUGCAAGACAAGAAAGUUCUCCACUAUGAUGCCACCCUAGAGGUGAGAACACAUUGGGAAUUCCUUCCCUGUUGGUCCCUCCUUCCUCCAUCAAUCAUCUCUAAAUGGUCCAGCUUCUUUCUGAGAUAUUAUCCUCAUCAAAACCACUGCCCAGGACCAGUCCCAAACAGGUUUUGGCAGAGGAAAGAAGUCACAGCCAGACUCCUCACAUACAGUGAGCGCUCUUAAGGUAGCACAGCACUCCCAGGGAGCCUGGCAUGGUCAUCUUUCAUCGUAACAGCGAGUUUGGUGCCAGAUUGCAUUAAAUGACUUAAAUUAACUAAAACCAAAACCACAGUUUCUAGAUGUCACUGAAAAUCUCUAAACGGAGUCCCUGAAAUAAUAAAUACUUUCUAUUUGUUGGAAUUCUUCUCUUUAGAUAUUGAUUUAAGUGAUUUAUUUCAGUACUUCAUUUACUUGAAGUAUUUGAUAAAAUAAGAUCCAGAACCUAUAGAGCCAGAUCUGUGGCCAGCUAAACACUGACAAAAGCUGGGAUCAAGCCAAACAAAAGACCUGAUGGGACACUUGGGGGAAAUCUUAAUUCAUUCUUUUCUGCCUGUCAUUGCUUUUCCUUCCUCUGUGUUGUGCAAAGCUUGGGACUAGAGAGGAACAUGUGAGAGUAAAAACUGGCUCAGGGGAGCACAGAACACGAAAGGACCAAAGGUGCUAAGAAGCUGACAAGGAAAGCAAAGAAAAGC